rnacentral:rRNA from 1 species
GACGUAGGGCGCAAGCGUUGUCCGGAUUUAUUGGGCGUAAAGAGCUCGUAGGCGGCUUGUUGCGUCGUCCGUGAAAACCUGCAGCUUAACUGUGGGCUUGCGGUCGAUACGGGCAUCACUGGAGUUCGGCAGGGAGACUGGAAUUCCUGGUGUAGCGGUGAAAUGCGCAGAUAUCAGGAGGAACACCGGUGGCGAAGGCGGGUCUCUGGGCCGAUACUGACGCUGAGGAGCGAAAGCGUGGGAGCGAACAGG